GAUGAACGCUAGCGGCAGGCCUAACACAUGCAAGUCGAGGGGCAGCGGGGAUGUAGCAAUACAUCUGCCGGCGACCGGCGCAAGGGUGCGUAACGCGUGAGCAACCUGCCCGCAUCAGGGGGAAAACCGUGGGAAACCGCGGCUAAUCCCGCAUAGUCAGGCGGUGGGGCAUCCCAUAGCCUGUAAAGUUUCGACGGAUGCGGAUGGGCUCGCGAGGCAUUAGCUUGAUGGCGGGGUAACGGCCCACCAUGGCGACGAUGCCUAGGGGUUCUGAGAGGAAGGUCCCCCACACUGGAACUGAGACACGGUCCAGACUCCUACGGGAGGCAGCAGUGAGGAAUAUUGGUCAAUGGGCGGAAGCCUGAACCAGCCAUGCCGCGCGAAGGCGAAGCUCCCAUGGAGCGUAAACUUCUUUUCCCGCGGAGCAAUAAGGUCCACGCGUGGGCCGAUGAGAGUACGCGGGGAACAAGCAUCGGCUAACUCCGUGCCAGCAGCCGCGGUAAUACGGGGGAUGCGAGCGUUAUCCGGAUUCAUUGGGUUUAAAGGGUGCGUAGGCUGUCUUUUAAGUCAGCGGUGAAAUACCCGUGCUCAACAUGGGGGCUGCCGUUGAUACUGGGAGACUGGAGUACGGAUGCCGCCGGAGGAAUGUGUGGUGUAGCGGUGAAAUGCAUAGAUAUCACACAGAACACCGAUUGCGAAGGCAUCUGGCGAAUCCGGGACUGACGCUGAAGCACGAAAGCGUGGGGAUCGAACAGGAUUAGAUACCCUGGUAGUCCACGCUGUAAACGAUGAUGGCUAACCGUUGGCCCUGCGGGGUCAGUGGCCAAGCGAAAGCGAUAAGCCAUCCACCUGGGGAGUACGGCCGCAAGGCUGAAACUCAAAGGAAUUGACGGGGGCCCGCACAAGCGGAGGAACAUGUGGUUUAAUUCGAUGAUACGCGAGGAACCUUACCCGGGCUCGAACGGCUGACGGAUGCGGGAGAGAUCCUGCAGUCGCAAGACGUCAGCCGAGGUGCUGCAUGGUUGUCGUCAGCUCGUGCCGUGAGGUGUCGGCUCAAGUGCCAUAACGAGCGCAACCCUUGCCUUCAGUUGCCAGCGGGUAAAGCCGGGGACUCUGGAGGGACUACCACCGCAAGGUGCGAGGAAGGGGGGGAUGACGUCAAAUCAGCACGGCCCUUACGUCCGGGGCGACACACGUGUUACAAUGGGGGCUACAGAGGGAAGCGAGGCAGCGAUGCCGGGCGGAUCCCGAAAUGCCCUCCCAGUUCGGAUCGGAGUCUGCAACCCGACUCCGUGAAGUUGGAUUCGCUAGUAAUCGCGCAUCAGCCAUGGCGCGGUGAAUACGUUCCCGGGCCUUGUACACACCGCCCGUCAAGCCAUGGGAGCCGGGAGCGCCUGAAGUCCGGGACCGAGAGGACCGGCCUAGGGUGAGACCGGUGACUGGGGCUA
rnacentral:rRNA from 1 species